rnacentral:tRNA from 1 species
UCUUGAUUAGCUGAAUUGGUAGAGCGCUCUACUUGAAAUGGAGAGGCCCCAGGUUGAAUAUCAAGAA